rnacentral:lncRNA from 1 species
CUCGUGCUAUUGCAUCCUCUUUCCUUCUCAACUCCUGCAAAAUAUAAAGUUAACAUUCAUUUACUAUAAGGACAAAUUAAUCUAAGAGCAAAAUGAAUAGCAAAACCACCUUACAAACACCACAGUUACAUAUUGCAUCCGAACAUAUAAGAAUCAAGUCAUUGCAUAAUUUUAGUAUUUUCAUAAUAAAAAGACUACAAAACAUAAAGAUAUUUUACAAGCAUUCAGACUGAAAAACUAAACUGAUAUAUGAAUAGGAAAUUCAUAUUCAAAAACUAUGGUUUUAAUUUUUUUGUGCGAAGAUAGCAGUAUUUAAAUUACUUUAGAAAUAUGUAUAAUUUGUAACUACAAUGUGAAACGAACAACUUAUCACAAUUGAUAUUGAAUACCGCAAAAAUAAAUCGAAAGCACCACACUUGUUAUUCAAGGGCCAGCCUCACUCGAGUGUAAACAGCCACCAACAAAUUACCUGUUCAUGCUUAUUUAGUUUAGCCUCUUUUGCUUUAUGUUCCUUCUCUCUUGCUUUUAGAUCCUAGAUUUGAUAAGACAAAAACAUCAAAAGAAGUCUAUGAUUUUAAUGAUAUAUAUUUUAAUCAUUUUGUGACCAAAGAAUGGAUGUUGGAUGGAAAAUAUAAUUGAAAACUUAUUUUUUGCAAGCAUAGCACUAGGAUUCCAACUUUUUCUUCAUUGGCAACCAAUAAAGCAAGGCCAGUACAAGGGUUCUAUACGUCAAACUUAGGGCUAAUCUUCCUAUUGCUUUGGGAGGGUAGUGGAGUUAGGCAUCAUCACCAUGCCAAUUUUUGUAAAGCUAAACUAAGCUUUGAUACACACACAUAUACAACUGAUAUCCAUAAAUAUACCACACAGAAGUAAGGUUUGCAUUCCUAAGUGUAAUAUUAUAUAUAAUUUGGAGAAAAUAACCAACAAGUGAUCUUCAAAUCUUUAUUGACCUUUUUUCCCCACAAAACAAUAAUAGACUUGUGCAAACUUUUAUAUGGCAAGUUCAGAGUUCAUUCAUAUAGAUUAAUAAGAAAAUGCAUUGAAACUACUCAGUUUUUAUAUAUUUUUUUUACUUCAUUCAUUGCGAACAAAAUAUCAUAUGAUGAGUACAACGUGAAACAAGUUCCCACAUAUCUAAAGCUGAUAGCUCCACUAAAUCUUAGCUAAUCUCAAACCGGAAGACUUAAUCUACAACUUUUUUUAAUAAGUGAAACAAAAAUAUUGACGAGACUUGAAUUUCAACAUUAAAUUUGUAUCGUUUUAUUUAUGUUUAUAUCUAGGAAUUUCAAGCUCUUAAAGAGUGAUGAUUUCAUGCAAAAUGGUGGAUGCUAUAACAAUCUAAGGAUCAUCCUCAAUGAGGCUUCAAUAAGAUGACAAGUGAUCCUUCUAAAACUUUAGAAUAUCUCUAGAAGCCAUGUGCAAGAUCAGUCCUGAGCUUAUUAGAUGUUCUCUGUCAAAUGGUUGUAUAAAUACUAAUAAAUUAAAUGUAGUAAUAAGAUUUAUUGUACUUCAAAGUUUAAACUCUAAAAUUAACAUUGAAAAAAAUAACUUUUAUGAAUGAUAUAAUAGCAUAAAAAAUAUCGUCUAUCAUAUAAAAAACCUCAAUUAUUGAUGGUUUUUUACUUAUUAGUUUUAAUUAAUCAUGAGGUCUCAAAACAACCACGAUUGUUACUAACGCUAAAAACAAGAUAGUGGAUGUACCUUGUGAAAAAAACAAAUUAUUUCUCUUGUAAUUUAUAUGAAAAUUUAAACCAUUUAAACACAAAAUGCAAAAUACAAACACAGUUCCUGCUCAGAGCCCCCCGGUAAACAAUCAACAGGUUUCUAAUUUCAACUUAACAUUUUCCCUUCCUUUUUUGGCUUAAAAAUCAAAGUUUUUAUGAUUUUUUUAUAUUUUUCUUGUCAAAUUUACUAUUAAUAUUAUAUUUGAAGUUUAUAUUUGUCUCUUUCAAUAAUAUUACCUUCAAUUAAACAUACAUUCUUUUUUCAAAAUGUAAUAUAGGUUAUCACUUCACUCAAUAUUUUUUCAUCUAUCAAUUCAAGUUUUUAUGACAUAGGCAGAAUCAAACUAGAAAUCUUCUUAUAAAAUUAGCUACCUAUAAUUGUUUCAAAGCUACAACUUAGGGUAAGUAAUCUAUCAAGGUAUUUUCCCCUGAUUCUGGCAACCUCAGCACACUUUUUCUCUGGAUAUUAAAAAUCCAUAAAUUAAUGAAAAGUAGCCAAAGAAUAGCUAAUACAUGAUCAGUAGUAACAUACCAAAAUCAUGCUCAAUCUUGAAGCUGCUUUUAGUUAUAUCUGUUGAUAUAUCACUACAAAACCAUCAGGAUGUAAAGUCAACUAAUACCCUAUUUUUAGACCUUAACGUAGACAAAAACCACAAAAUUUAAAGUAGGACAAGAAUUCAAAUUCAAGUUAAGAUAUACUUUAAUUCCAAGUUAAAAAAAAAGAAAUAAGAAUCCGAUCAUCAUAAAUUCAAG